UACGAAAGGGGCUAGCGUUGUUCGGAAUUACUGGGCGUAAAGCGCACGUAGGCGGCCUUGUAAGAUGGGGGUGAAAUCCCCGGGCUCAACCCGGGAACUGCCUUCAUGACUGCAAAGCUAGAGGAUGCGAGAGGUUAGCGGAAUUCCGAGUGUAGAGGUGAAAUUCGUAGAUAUUCGGAAGAACACCAGUGGCGAAGGCGGCUAACUGGCGCAUUUCUGACGCUGAGGUGCGCAAGCCUGCGGAGCAAACAGG
rnacentral:rRNA from 1 species